UGGGGAAUAUUGGACAAUGGGCGAAAGCCUGAUCCAGCCAUGCCGCGUGUGUGAAGAAGGUCUUCGGAUUGUAAAGCACUUUAAGUUGGGAGGAAGGGCAUUAACCUAAUACGUUAGUGUUUUGACGUUACCGACAGAAUAAGCACCGGCUAACUCUGUGCCAGCAGCCGCGGUAAUACAGAGGGUGCAAGCGUUAAUCGGAAUUACUGGGCGUAAAGCGCGCGUAGGUGGUUUGUUAAGUUGGAUGUGAAAUCCCCGGGCUCAACCUGGGAACUGCAUUCAAAACUGACUGACUAGAGUAUGGUAGAGGGUGGUGGAAUUUCCUGUGUAGCGGUGAAAUGCGUAGAUAUAGGAAGGAACACCAGUGGCGAAGGCGACCACCUGGACUAAUACUGACACUGAGGCACGAAAGCGUGGGGAGCAAACA
rnacentral:rRNA from 1 species